CCCACCCCGCGCGCCACGGCGCGCUCCCUCCUUUAAGCUCACCUUGGCUCCCAAGAGCCGGGUUGCUGCAGUGAGUAGAGCCAUGGCGGGCGAAACUCCGGGACCUGGCGGGAAGGGACCGAAGGGAGAGAGCUACAGCUGCAACAGGAGCGGUCGCCGCUGUGAUGGAGACCGCGCCAACCGGCGGACAAGGUUGAAAGGAGGCGGCUGAGGGGAAGGGUAGACAAACCGGCACAGGCGCCCAGCCCAGGGUCCUCGGCGAGGCCCCGCCCUCUGCCCGAAACUUGAGCCCGCCCCCCUCCGGCGACCCACCCCGGCCUCGACCAUUGGCCCAAAAUGGAAGAGGGGCGGGAUCUGAGCCUUUGACAGAUGUUAUCGCGGGGAGGAUUGGACCGUACGGAUUAGGCUAAUUAGGAGUGGGUGGGAAAGGGAUUGUAGGUGUCUAAGGAUGUGCCUGAGAACUCAGUUAACUUCCUUCUUUGGCUUUUCCCUUUGCCCUUAACACAUUUCGGGUUCUCCGGAGAAUGCUGAAGAUAAAGCUCCAGCACGCGACGUUUGAAGGUCACUGAACACUGCAACUGACCAUUGCACUUCCUCUACCUGCUUGGCAUGCUUUCUUAAAGAAUGUCUUUGGUUAAUGACUUCAUGGCCGUGGAGGUGACAUCACGCAGAAAGCCCGCUAUGAUGCCAGAGUUAGUUGCUUGAUGGUCAUUUGUGAACAGAAGAAAUCUUGAAAUUACAGAUACUGACCCCGUUAUGUGGAGAAGAGCAAAACCAGAAGCCUGAAUGUUUAGUGAUGUUUGUGAACUAUAUGGAGUCUAAGUCUUACAAAAGCCCCCUUAAUAUGAAGGAACCUUUC
rnacentral:lncRNA from 1 species